ACGAUUAUGGCGGAAUGGUAAACGCGGUUAACUUAGGAUUACCUUGUAUUAUUACAUUAUGGGUUCAAGUCCCAUUAAUCGUA
rnacentral:tRNA from 1 species